UUGCAGCAGCAGACAGGGUGAGAACGUCACGGUGCUCCUUCUGCUGGGUUACUUCUUGCUUGUUGCGCCUUGGACACUGUUCAUAGUUGAGCGAUGUUUAUUGUUAAUGCAUCGCCUUAACUGCUAUGUUUAACAGUGCAGACAGUUGUGGUUUCUGACAUGGACAAUAUAGGCAACCGCCCAGGGUGUUAUGUUUCAGGGAUGGCAGGAGACCUCCACGGAUUGUGGUACAGAGAUGGAAGCAAAGCGGAAUGAAGAGUUUGAAUCGGUAAUGAUACUGGUUAUGUAGGGCAGUAGCUUAAAUAUGUCAGAGGAUGUCACCAAAAUGUUAGAUUUGUUCCUUGAGUUGUGGAAGUUGGGAAAGUGUGUCCAUUGAAGAAUGUCGUACUUGGCGUCCGUUACGGUGCGCUGGCAGUACAACGGUCAGUAUUUGCUGUGAAUUCUGAAGGCGAAGCCGCUGCGCUGUCGGGUGGUCCGAAUAAACGGUCUGAACAACGAUCUCAACCACCGUGUGUGUCCGAUAUGGGAGUGACACAAAUCACUUUUUUUGGAAGGGUGAAAAGAUUUCAAUUUGGCUGUUCAGACAACGAUUAAAAGUGAAAACAGGGAGAAGCUUUUUGGAACAGCGUUCCACUCAAUCAUGGUCACCUGGUCUUGACAAGGAGCUGGUUCACAAGCUGGAUCCCAUGUGGCUGUGACGCGCUUUGAAGCUACUUUAAUCAUCCUUUACGGAUUGGUGUCAUGUCUGCUUGAUCUCAGGGAGAAGGCUAUAAAUAUAGCCUUCACAGCUUUCCAGAUCGUCCAAAAGACUGAACCGUCAGAUAAAUUGUCUCUUAAUAUGCUGUAUUUGAACCUUUUUAUUAAUUCUUAAAUGACCUAUUAAAACCCCAUAACUAUCUACUCGUGAAUGUAAUUGUGCAAUCCGACACGCAUUAAAGAUGUUAUUGAGUUGGAGAAUAGGAUGAAUAAGGUUGUUUUAUUUGAAAAUCAAACAUAAUUGUUCGCUUUACUUCAUACAUACUCUUUAGUCAGCCUCUUCCUCCUCCAGCUUGAUGUUAUACCCUCUACCUUUUGUUGCUGUGCAGUAGACUGACAUUCUUUUCAUUAAGCAGAUUCAACUGUGUCCUGCACCGUUUUUAAAUUUUCAAGCCGUCAUUAAAAUGGC